rnacentral:rRNA from 1 species
UACGUAGGGCGCAAGCGUUUGUCCGGAAUUAUUGGGCGUAAAGAGCUCGUAGGCGGUUUGUCGCGUCUGCUGUGAAAACCUAAGGCUCAACCUUGGGCUUGCAGUGGGUACGGGCAGACUAGAGUGCGGUAGGGGUGACUGGAAUUCCUGGUGUAGCGGUGGAAUGCGCAGAUAUCAGGAGGAACACCGAUGGCGAAGGCAGGUCACUGGGCCGCAACUGACGCGUG